rnacentral:rRNA from 1 species
CAGCCGCCGCGGUAAUACCAGCUCUUCGAGUGGUGUGGAUGUUUAUUAGGCCUAAAGCAUCCGUAGCUGGCUAAGUUAGUCCCUUGUUAAAUCCACCGAAUUAAUCGUUGGAUUGCGGGGGAUACUGCUUGGCUAGGGGACGAGAGAGGCAGACGGUAUUUUCGGGGUAGGGGUGAAAUCCUAUAAUCCCGGGAAGACCACCAGUGGCGAAGGCUGUCUGCUAGAACGCGCCCGACGGUGAGGGAUGAAAGCUGGGGGAGCGAACCGGAUUAGAUACCCGGGUAGUCCCAGCUGUAAACGAUGCGGGCUAGGUGUUUGGACGGCCACGUGCCGUUCUAGUGCCGCAGGGAAGCUGUUAAGCCUGCCGCCUGGGGAGUACGAUCGCAAGAUUGAAACUUAAAGGAAUUGGCGGGGGAGCAC